rnacentral:tRNA from 1 species
GCCGGUGUGGCUCAGUGGAUAGAGCGUUGGCCUGAGGACUGAAGGGUCCCAGGUUCCAAUCCUGUCAAGGGCA